rnacentral:rRNA from 1 species
UACGUAGGGUGCAAGCGUUGUCCGGAAUUAUUGGGCGUAAAGGGCUCGUAGGCGGUCCAUCACGUCGGGAGUGAAAAGCUGGGGCUUAACCCCAGUCCUGCUUCCGAUACGGGUGGACUAGAGGUAGGUAGGGGAGAACGGAAUUCCUGGUGUAGCGGUGAAAUGCGUAGAUAUCUGGAGGAAUACCGGUGGCGAAGGCGGCAUCCUGGACCGACAUUGACGCUGAGGAGCGAAAGCUAGGGGAGCAAACGGG